GUCGCCAUCGCCAUUUUGCUCUAUCCCAUCCCAUCUUUCAUACGCGUUUACAUUGAAUUUGAUAGUUUUGCUACUUUAAUUUUAAUUAAAUAGCAAUUAUGGGGGGUUGCUCCUAAUUGUUGUAAUAAUAAUGCCAAAGGCUUUCGAACGUUUCGUUUUCCGUCUAGUAGUUGAAGAAGAAGUAAAAUUUAGUUACAACAUUUUAGACGUACCAACUACCAAGUAAAAACCAACUUCCAGACUGAGGUUAUGAAAACUAGUGGAAUUGUUGGAUCUUCAAAUAUUAGUGGAACCUGUGAAACUGGCAAAUGUGAUGUAGAGGAUGAAGUUGCACAUAUUCAUGAGGUUAGUAAUCGAAUUCCUAUCAUUUGACUGAAAUUAUUGUCUGAAACACAACUUUUUCUUUAAUAGCUGCGCAGCUACAGGAACAAGGUGGCACCUAUUCUAUAGAAUAAUACCGUACAAUUGAGCUUUAUGUGACACAAUAAUUUAUAUCAUUCUGAUACUCCGAGACUGCAAUAGUAUAAAUAUAAUUCUAUUUAUAUUCUGUCCAAACAGGCAUGAGCCGCUCAUGCUUGCUACAAUUUUAUCAGUACGAAUUCAGUUGAUUCUGAACUUGUUGACUGUUUGUUUCGGAAGUAAUUGACUGUAUCCAUGCAGAUCUCUUGCCUAUUCUAGAAUCUUGGGCAUAGUCUAUCGCUUACUUUUUGUCUCACUGGUCUAAAAGUAAGAAGACUGCCAGGGAACAUGAUACGCUGGCAAUGAAGCCAAAUACAGCACUGUAAUAAAACAAAAUACCGUAUGCAAUCUUCUCUAAGAAAAUAUUGUGUUUUAGUGAGUUCCUAACAGUGUUAAAUUGUCAAAAAAUAGUUGAAUUUUAAAAAUAGCUCCAAGUUUUC